GACGAACGCUGGCGGCGUGCUUAACACAUGCAAGUCGAACGGAAAGGCCCUGCUUGCAGGGUACUCGAGUGGCGAACGGGUGAGUAACACGUGGGUGAUCUGCCCUGCACUUCGGGAUAAGCCUGGGAAACUGGGUCUAAUACCGGAUAGGAGCCAUUUUUAGUGUGAUGGUUGGAAAGUUUUUUCGGUGUAGGAUGAGCUCGCGGGCUAUCAGCUUGUUGGUGGGGUAAUGGCCUACCAAGGCGGCGACGGGUAGCCGGCCUGAGAGGGUGGACGGCCACAUUGGGACUGAGAGACGGCCCAGACUGCUACGGGAGGCAGCAGGGGGGAAGAUUGAACAAUGGGCGCCAGCCUGAUGCAGCGACGCCGCGUGGGGGAUGACGGCCUUAGGGUUGUAAAACACGUGCGCUAGGGACGAAGCUCUUUGUGACGGUACCUAGAUAAGAAGCACCUGCUAACUACGUG
rnacentral:rRNA from 1 species